UAAUAGUUAUAGGCUUGAAACUUAAAGAAUUUGGCGGUAUUUUAAUCUUUUUAGAGGAACCUGUUCUGUAAUCGAUAUUCCACGUUAAAUUUUACUAAAUUAUUUGUAUAUCGUUGUCGAAAAAAUAAAUUUUUUAAUUUUAUUAUUUUAAUAGAUGUCAAAUCAAGGUGCAGUUUAUAAUUUAGUAGAAAUGGGUUACAAUAAAUUUAUUUAGGAAUUUAAUGAAGAUGGAUUUAAAAGUAAAUUAAUUUUAAUAAA
rnacentral:rRNA from 1 species